CGAAGUAUAGCAUAUAUUAAUGCCUUUUACUUACACUAAAAAUAAAACAAAUAGUUUACUUCGCUU
rnacentral:tRNA from 1 species